AUCAUGGCUGAGGACACCAGAAAUGGGCUUCACACAUUGUAACCAUGUGGGGAAUCGAAACUGGGUCUUCAGCAUGAAGAGCAAACACUUUAACCACUUUACUACCUCACUGACCCUCAAUGCAA